AGGGCUGUUCGCUAAUUGGUAAGCGUCAAGCGGUCUAUACCGUGCAAUUUUGUGGGUUCAAGUCCCACCAGCCCUU
rnacentral:tRNA from 2 species